GUGGGUUUGUAUCGCUAACAGGUACCAAGGAACUGCUCAAAGUUCGCUCGAUUCAGUUCUGCAUUAUUUGCUGCAAUGAAGCCCGUGUAUUUUCGAGAUCUAAUCAUCAGAUUAGACGUGUCGGGAAUUUCGACAAGUCUAAAAUUAGUACGUGAAAGCGACGCGAUGACACCAAACCGAUAACAAGACGAUGGAUUUGUAUCUCUCCUGGCAGAGCUGUUAUGGUGAACGUCGUGAACAGUGCACGAAUUUUGAGCCUGCAGACUAUACAUACUUCUAUUUUGGUCCUAGCUGCUCCAACAAUGGUUGCCAUAGAUGAUUUUAAGCAAAAUAUCACACAUAACUUCAUAAGAUGUUGAUGGCAGUGAGGCAACCUACCCAGGAACUGAUCUGCCCAGAAGACAGACACAACGAGUUAACCUGUAGCUACAGGUGUAGCAGUAGGUUGUGUUCUGUAACAGCUUAUCACAGAUGAAUUAUAAGCUGUCUAGUGAUGAUCUCCAGGUCUGUGACUUGACAUUUCUCAAUAUGAAGAGCACGCUGUCAUUUUCCGUGUGACAAUAGCCUAAGCAUCUUCGAACUUCAUAUGAUGAUCUUUCUAAGGGUAGUGAUGUAAACAGCUCUCACAGCUAUAACAGCUUAGUGUACUGUGAGUAUGUUAAGCAAACCGGAAUAGCGUACAUACAGAUGCCAGUCCGUGAAUCAUCAGCUGAACACCUAAAGUGUUCAUGACUACCAGAUCCAGUUCUGCAGGAAGCUUAAUUCUGCCCAAAGACUGAACUUAAUCUAGAAGAAGAAGAUUUACUCUUAGGGGUACUCAAAUUUGGAAUGUGGGGUACAAUAGAAAACUAUAUACCUUGGCAUGUGGACAAUAGCUUUACGAGUCGGUUUGUUCCGGUUGAUUAGAUUGUUUACCUCACCCCCACUAACAGACGAUUUCACCGAAUUUGUGUUGCACGAAAGCAUUAUUUUUUUCGUUUCCUGGUUUGGUAUUGUAAAUUUUUUUUUUCCUUUUAGGAAGUGUGGUAACAGUAGGCCUAUAGUCCAUUCAUCACUUCAGAUUGCGUCUCAUUAUUAUUUGCUGACGGCCAAUAGGCUUAUCGAUAAUUCACCAUCCCCACCACCAUCGUCAUCAUCAUCAUUAUCAUCAUCAUCACUAUCACCACCACCACCACCGUCAUCAUCAUCAUUAUCAUCCUCAUCAUCAUUUUACAUUAUAAUCAUCAUCAUCAUCGUCAUCAUCAUCAUCAUCACCAAUCAUCAUAUCACCACUGAGUCAACAUCAUCGUCGUCGACGUCGCUACCAUCGUCAUUGUCAUCAAUGUCAUCUCAUCUCAUCACUAUCACUGAAUGCAAAACAAUGUUAUUAUCUUCGUCAUCAUCGUCACCAUUCACCACCACCUCGUCAUUUGACAUCCACCAAAUCAUCAUUGACAUCUUCAUAGACAUCAUCGUCAUCAUCUUCAUCGUCGUCAUCAUCAUCAUCAUCAUUGACGUCAUCAUCAUCAAU